GCUCAGGUGCUCGUGGAAGAAGUGGACAUUGAAGUACUUAUCACACAAAUGAGGAUAAAAGUACGAUAGCGAUAUCUACCACGAAGCUGUUGUUCCCCACCAGAACCAAAUGAGCGCAAGAUCUGACAAAGAAAAAAAAAGGUUCAUCUUUUAUUCCUCCAAACACUUUCAUUUAAAUCAAGAGGAUGGGAUGUGGUUAUUGCUGUGUUUUUAGACAGAAUCAACGGUUUCUGGGUCUGAGAUGUUGCAUACACCUUCUCAGUCCCUGUAUCCUGAGAUGGAGUCACCUGAGAAUCCACAGCAAGUCCUAACCAGGGAUGGGUCUGGGUGAUUAAGGAAGGUUGGCUUCAGAACUGGGCCAGGGGCACUGCUUUGCUUUUGCUGUUUUGAUCAGCUCUCUGCCUGAAGGAGACAAGAAAAACCAACGGGAACAGCUGGGGAAACUGAGUUACAGAGCUUGUCUGCACUGAGUCAUCAGGAGCAAAUGCUAGAUCAGAUAGGGUCUCUCUCUCUGCCACCCAGGCCAGAGUGCAGUUGACGCAGGGCAGGGGAGCCCCGAAGUGGAGCAUAGUGUGUCCGGAACUGGUGGGUUCUUGGUCUCACUGACUUCAAGAAAGAAGCCGCGGACCCUCGCGAGACGGGGUCUUGCUCUGUUGCUCAAGCUGGAGUGCAGUAGUGCAAUCACAGCUUAGUGCAGGAUUGACCUCCUGGGUUCAAGAAAUCCUGCCACCUCAGCCUCCUGAGUAGCUGGGACUACAGAAACUCCUGGAGGGCAGAGGCAUGCCUGCCAUCUUCAUCAUUGCAUUACCACCACCCAACACUAUCGGGGGACCUGCCCUGAUAAUCAGUCUACAGGUGUAUCCAGCAGCUCCAGAGAGACAGCGACCAGCGAGAAGGGGCCAUGAUGAUGGAGGUGGUUUUGUCAAAACGAAAAUGGG
rnacentral:lncRNA from 1 species